AGUAAAAGGGAGUUUUAUUCUUUGGAGUCGAUCUCCUUCUUACUUCAGCAUCCGAUGACAGAUCUGCGUUAUCUGUCGCGGUCGGCAUGUCGACAUGAAGGUGUGCUCACUGACGAGGGGCGUUCGCAACAGUUCUUUAGGAAUCUCUUCACCCGUAGAAAUUCUUGGCUUUUUCGGUAGUCGUACAGAGCCCGGAGAAUACGACAAUGUUGAUGUGGCGGUUUGCAUCAUUGACAAGAGCAAUUCUACUAUUUAUAAAUAGGCUACUGAAGUAGCAAAUGUGGUAUUGAUAAAGGUAGAAAAAGUCCACUUGGUAGCAGAGGUGGGAUUACAUAUUGAAGUUGCUGUUAUCGAAAACUCGCUUUGUUUGUGACAAGUUUAGCGAGAAAUUUCUAAUUGUUGUAAUGUAGGCCACCUUACAAAAAAAUAGAACCAUGUAGAUCACCACCCGAAAAGUGAAAAGAAUAGUUGUGAAUAAUAAAAUAUAAUGAACGAAUUGUUAUCAUUAAUAUUUAUAAUCAUAA